rnacentral:rRNA from 1 species
AUGUGGUAUCCGUUUCUGGUCAUCUUUAGCUUCCAGGUUGGGUUUACUAAAAUUGUAGCCAGUCCAUACUACAUGCUCCCAGAGGUAUUAAAGCACAAGUGUGGCCCUGAAAUCGAUGUCUGGAUUGUAGGAGUUAUACUUUACAUACUUCUUUGUGGUGUGCAAACAUUUUUGGUAGAUUCUGAACAGGGAGUAGCACAAGCAAUUAUGUGCUCUGUGGUAGAUUUCAAAAGAGACCCAAGGCCCGGAGUAUCUGAGCCUGCUGAAGACUUUGUUCGACAAAUGCUGGAUCCAGAUCCAAUCACACGGUUUACUACAACACAUGUACUCGGUGAGCGUGGUGUCUGUCGGUAG